CACGAUUUGCCAACUCGUUUACCCUCAUAACCUUAGAUUUAUAAAUAACCGCAACAGAAAAAAUUCCAGAUACUUCUUCCCCUUGCUUCAUUCCGUUACUAUCCUUCUACAUGUGGGUCCAGCAUUAACAUUUAAAAAAAAAAAAAAUAGAAAUAUAAUAAUAUAUAUUUACAAUACUUUUAACUCGCCUUGACUUUUGAUCUUUUCAAAUUCUAUAUACUAACGCAAUCUUCAUUCUUCUCUUGUCUUGCAACUGCAUUAUUCCCAACAUAAACACAACUUCUGAUUUACGAAUCCAAGUUUUGGUUGAAAUAUGAUAGGUUUGGGCGAAGAAAUGGGUGAUAAUGGUGAUGUUGACAGUGCUACACAUUGUAGGCAUAUUCAUAUUCACUCGAGGAUUUCUGUUAACUCGAACGGAGCUUCCUUAUUACACCAAUUCUUCUGAUGUUUCUCACUCCCCUGCUUUCAUCUACCCAAUCAAAUACCACUUGUUGGACUAGACCUGCUGUUGAUCGCGUAGUCAUUAUCGUUCUUAUGCCCUCAGAUUUGAUUUCGUUGCUCCCAGUUCCUUUUCAAAGAGUCAAAACCUUGGAUGGACAGAUUACCAGUCCUUCAGAAGCUAGCAUCUACUGAAGGAACUUCUGCCCGUAUCUUCAAAGCUAUCGCAGAUCCACCCACUACUAGUUUGCGCGUUUGAAGGUCACUCUACUUUCUUUCGAUUUCUUCUAUUUUCAUUUCUAUUUAGCUUUACCUUAUUAUUACUCUUUUAGGGCUUACAACUGGUGGACUACCAACUUUUAUCGAUGUUGGGAAUAGCUUCGGUGCUCCAGCCAUUGCUGAGGAAACUUCAUACAUCAGUUGGUUUCAAAUGGAAAGCGUGUAGUGAUGAUGGGGGAUGACACUUGUUGCAGUUGUUCCUCAUC